UCUAAUACCGGAUACGACCUGBCGAGGCAUCUCGGUGGGUGGAAAGCUCCGGCGGUGAAGGAUGAGCCCGCGGCCUAUCAGCUUGUUGGUGGGGUAAUGGCCUACCAAGGCGACGACGGGUAGCCGGSCUGAGAGGGCGACCGGCCACACUGGGACUGAAACACGGCCCAGACUCCUACGGGAGGCAGCAGUGGGGAAUAUUGCACAAUGGGCGAAAGCCUGAUG
rnacentral:rRNA from 1 species